UACGUAGGGUGCGAGCGUUGUCCGGAAUUAUUGGGCGUAAAGGGCUCGUAGGCGGUUUGUCGCGUCGGGUGUGAAAUCCACUGGCUUAACUGGUGGCUUGCUUUCGAUACGGGCAGACUGGAGGUAUGCAGGGGAGAACGGAAUUCCUGGUGUAGCGGUGAAAUGCGCAGAUAUCAGGAGGAACACCGGUGGCGAAGGCGGUUCUCUGGGCAUGUCCUGACGCUGAGGAGCGAAAGCCAGGGGAGCAAACGGG
rnacentral:rRNA from 1 species